CACUAUCGUUAACUGAAUACAUAGGUUAACGAGGCGAACCGGGGGAACUGAAACAUCUAAGUACCCCGAGGAAAAGAAAUCAACCGAGAUUCCCCCAGUAGCGGCGAGCGAACGGGGAGCAGCCCAGAGUCUGAAUCAGCUUGUGUGUUAGUGGAACGGUCUGGAAAGUCCGACGGUACAGGGUGAUAGUCCCGUACACCAAAAUGCACAGGCUGUGAACUCGAAGAGUAGGGCGGGACACGUGGUAUCCUGUCUGAAUAUGGGGGGACCAUCCUCCAAGGCUAAAUACUCCUGACUGACCGAUAGUGAACCAGUACCGUGAGGGAAAGGCGAAAAGAACCCCGGCGAGGGGAGUGAAAAAGAACCUGAAACCGUGUACGUACAAGCAGUGGGAGCACCUUCGGGUGUGACUGCGUACCUUUUGUAUAAUGGGUCAGCGACUUAUAUUCUGUAGCAAGGUUAACCGUAUAGGGGAGCCGCAGGGAAACCGAGUCUUAACUGGGCGUUAAGUUGCAGGGUAUAGACCCGAAACCCGGUGAUCUAGCCAUGGGCAGGUUGAAGGUUGGGUAACACUAACUGGAGGACCGAACCGACUAAUGUUGAAAAAUUAGCGGAUGACUUGUGGCUGGGGGUGAAAGGCCAAUCAAACCGGGAGAUAGCUGGUUCUCCCCGAAAGCUAUUUAGGUAGCGCCUCGUGAACUCAUCUUCGGGGGUAGAGCACUGUUUCGGCUAGGGGGUCAUCCCGACUUACCAACCCGAUGCAAACUACGAAUACCGAAGAAUGUUAUCACGGGAGACACACGGCGGGUGCUAACGUCCGUCGUGAAGAGGGAAACAACCCAGACCGCCAGCUAAGGUCCCAAAGUCAUGGUUAAGUGGGAAACGAUGUGGGAAGGCACAGACAGCCAGGAUGUUGGCUUAGAAGCAGCCAUCAUUUAAAGAAAGCGUAAUAGCUCACUGGUCGAGUCGGCCUGCGCGGAAGAUGUAACGGGGCUAAACCAUGCACCGAAGCUGCGGCAGCGACACUAUGUGUUGUUGGGUAGGGGAGCGUUCUGUAAGCCUGCGAAGGUGUGCUGUGAGGCAUGCUGGAGGUAUCAGAAGUGCGAAUGCUGACAUAAGUAACGAUAAAGCGGGUGAAAAGCCCGCUCGCCGGAAGACCAAGGGUUCCUGUCCAACGUUAAUCGGGGCAGGGUGAGUCGACCCCUAAGGCGAGGCCGAAAGGCGUAGUCGAUGGGAAACAGGUUAAUAUUCCUGUACUUGGUGUUACUGCGAAGGGGGGACGGAGAAGGCUAUGUUAGCCGGGCGACGGUUGUCCCGGUUUAAGCAUGUAGGCUGGUUAUCCAGGCAAAUCCGGAUAAUCAAGGCUGAGGUGUGAUGACGAGGCACUACGGUGCUGAAGUAACAAAUGCCCUGCUUCCAGGAAAAGCCUCUAAGCAUCAGGUAACAUCAAAUCGUACCCCAAACCGACACAGGUGGUCAGGUAGAGAAUACCAAGGCGCUUGAGAGAACUCGGGUGAAGGAACUAGGCAAAAUGGUGCCGUAACUUCGGGAGAAGGCACGCUGGUGUGUAGGUGAAGCCCCUGCGGGUGGAGCUGAGACCAGUCGAAGAUACCAGCUGGCUGCAACUGUUUAUUAAAAACACAGCACUGUGCAAACACGAAAGUGGACGUAUACGGUGUGACGCCUGCCCGGUGCCGGAAGGUUAAUUGAUGGGGUUAUCCGUAAGGAGAAGCUCUUGAUCGAAGCCCCGGUAAACGGCGGCCGUAACUAUAACGGUCCUAAGGUAGCGAAAUUCCUUGUCGGGUAAGUUCCGACCUGCACGAAUGGCGUAAUGAUGGCCAGGCUGUCUCCACCCGAGACUCAGUGAAAUUGAACUCGCUGUGAAGAUGCAGUGUACCCGCGGCAAGACGGAAAGACCCCGUGAACCUUUACUAUAGCUUGACACUGAACAUUGAGCCUUGAUGUGUAGGAUAGGUGGGAGGCUUUGAAGCGUGGACGCCAGUCUGCGUGGAGCCAACCUUGAAAUACCACCCUUUAAUGUUUGAUGUUCUAACGUUGGCCCCUUACCGGGGUUGCGGACAGUGUCUGGUGGGUAGUUUGACUGGGGCGGUCUCCUCCCAAAGCGUAACGGAGGAGCACGAAGGUUAGCUAAUCCUGGUCGGACAUCAGGAGGUUAGUGCAAUGGCAUAAGCUAGCUUGACUGCGAGCGUGACGGCGCGAGCAGGUGCGAAAGCAGGUCAUAGUGAUCCGGUGGUUCUGAAUGGAAGGGCCAUCGCUCAACGGAUAAAAGGUACUCCGGGGAUAACAGGCUGAUACCGCCCAAGAGUUCAUAUCGACGGCGGUGUUUGGCACCUCGAUGUCGGCUCAUCACAUCCUGGGGCUGAAGUAGGUCCCAAGGGUAUGGCUGUUCGCCAUUUAAAGUGGUACGCGAGCUGGGUUUAGAACGUCGUGAGACAGUUCGGUCCCUAUCUGCCGUGGGCGCUGGAGAAUUGAGGGGGGCUGCUCCUAGUACGAGAGGACCGGAGUGGACGCAUCACUGGUGUUCGGGUUGUCAUGCCAAUGGCACUGCCCGGUAGCUAAAUGCGGAAGAGAUAAGUGCUGAAAGCAUCUAAGCACGAAACUUGCCCCGAGAUGAGUUCUCCCUGAGACUUUAAGUCUCCUGAAGGAACGUUGAAGACGACGACGUUGAUAGGCCGGGUGUGUAAGCGCAGCGAUGCGUUGAGCUAACCGGUACUAAUGAACCGUGAGGCUUAACCUUACAACGCCGAAG
rnacentral:rRNA from 1 species